rnacentral:lncRNA from 1 species
GUCACUGGGGGCCUGACCUUGGGGACUAGAUCUUGUCCCUGGCCCCUUCCUCAUUCUCUUACUGCUUUCCAGCUGCCAUGAGCUGAGCAGCUUUCCUCCACCACACCCUUCUGCCUCACCUCAGACCCAGAGCAGUGGAGCUGGCCGACCUCCCACUAAGACCUCUGCAACUGUGAGCCCAAAUAAAUAUCUUCCCUAAGUUGUUUUUCUCAGAUAUUUGUUAUUGUGAUGCAAAGUUGACUAACACACUGAUGAUAAUGAUUUUGCCUCGGGGCAUUUUCAAGGGCUGCUGUGUUGGCCUGGACCCUCUCAAGAUAUCUGCCUUCUUGCUAAGGCCCACUGUGUCUUGUUAGUACUAUCUUCUUGACCAUUCCCCCUUAACUUUUGUUUCUUUUUUUUUUCUAGGUGUCUAUUUUAUGAUAGUCUAUGCAAUCGACUUAUUUACUGUACUUACUGCUUAUUGUCUACUUCUCUGAACUAAAUAUAAAUUCACUGGGGGCUUGAUGCCUUUUGAGUGUGAAAAGGGGAUGCAACAAGCUAAGUUUGGGUGCUUGCAGGCCACAACAACUCAGAGAAGCAGGAGCUAUCUUGCCAGUUGGCAGGACUUGUGGUGAGUGCACAGGGUCAAGGAUGCACCGGGUGGGGAGCGCUGUCUCAGCCAGAUGAUGCAUUACUGUCUCAAAGAUUAUUUUCAUGUCCCGUUGGCAGUGGACUCUGAUACCAUCAAAUGCACCAUGAAAUGUGCAGGACCCAUCCUUGCUCCAGGGUCCUCAGAGGUAUUCACCAUAUUCAUUACAUUCCUCUUGGACACACAGAAAUGAAGCAAAACAUAAGGAAUUGGCCUCUGAUAGUUAUCAAGGAUCAAAGAGAAAAGGUCUGGUGUCAGUAGGCAGAUGUAUCAACAAAUGCUUUUAAGAUGAAGGUGGAUUUCUGAGCCCUGAGAACUGUCCCUUGGUAUGAACUCUCAUGAAGUCAGAAGAUGGCAAGCCAGAAAAUGUGGACCAUGCUCCAAUCAACAAGGUCAGCAAAGAAUUCCCAUGCAGGAAGUCAUCUAUUUUUAAUAUUGCAAUUGCUUUCCUGUUUUCCUUUAUUCGGUAUGUUACCACAGGAGCCCCAUUCCAAGAGUUUUGUUUGAAUGUUUUCCUCUCCCACUUUUCUUUUUUAAAUUUGGAUGCAGCCUUGUAUUUCCAGAGAGCAAAUGUUCUCUCGUUAUUUUAAGAAAACCGGGAGGCUGGGUCAUCUGUCAGGCUGAACAAUGCUGGACUGAUCUAGUGUCAGGGUCCCAAAGGUGGUGCUUCUAAAUGAGAACAUUGAAUGGGGGCUUCCUCUGUGGAGCAGUGUGAAAAGGGGAUGCAGUAAGCAAAGUUGAGGUGCAUGCAGGCUAUACCAGCUUAGAGAAGUAGGAGAUGUCUUGCAAGUGGGACGGUCUUGCCGUGGGGGUCCCACGUCCAGUCCCUACUCCACUGCUGUCUCACCACGCCCUCAUGAAGCUGAAGGGAGACAUUCCUUUCAUGCCCAAAGCCGUCCAAGCCCCUCCUGGAUGUGUUUUUCUGGCCAAUUAUCUGUUCUUGGGCUGGAGUUUUGUAAAUCUUGUAUUUUCCAAGCACUAGCAUUUCAAAGUUUUCAGCAACUGCUUGAUUAUCACUCUGCAACGGACCUGUCUGCUCUUCCUUUGAUGAUUAGCCUUCACAGUGCCAAGGCUGCCAAAGGCUGGGAGGGAACAGAAGCAAAAACAACGAAGAGAUUUCCUGAACACAGACUCUUUAUUGUACUGCAAUUAAUGUGGAGCCACUUCUUGGCCUGGCUCAUGCAGAAUUCGCUGGGUACCAAAUUCCCCAGAUCUGUCCUCACCUCUCUGUGGCUGAAGGAUUUGGAGUUGAGUUGAGCUGAUAGAUUCUUGAAACUUCUUGGAAGCUACUCCCUGACUGUCAUGCAGUCCCCUUGGCCUGGGUUAGGCAGCAUUUCGGGUUCUGUAGCUAUAGUCCCAAGAAAGGCACGUCCCUCUCUGGGAAGCAGCUCCUGGACUUCCUGCCUUGACCUUGCAGAUGUUUCCUCAAUCUCUCCCGGAAGUCCGGAUGGUCCGGUGCCCCCCGCCCCCCCCCCAAGUCCUAGAUUCUUGCCCCCAACUUCUAUCUGUCUCUUGUUUGGUUUCUGUAAGUUGUGUUCAGAUAUCCAGGGUGGUGUCCCUUUGCCAAUAACUGGCUCUACUAUUUUCUAGUGACUUCGGCAGACCUCCAAGAGGAAUGGCCUCACAGGACAGAAAGCACCCUCACCUUUCCCCAAGGUGAGGAUUAGUGUUCUAAGAAAGCAAGGACUGCAGAGCACCUUAUUCAAAAUGAUACCAAGCACUAAGCAAUUAAUUCAAAUGCUGCCUCCUCUCAGAAAAGAGAUUAAAUAACUCCUUGUUGCCCAAGGCAGAAGCCCAGCCACAGCUCACGCCACCAGUAUCCUCUCUAAAGCAGGACUUAAGUUUUAGGAAAACAAACCAGUCUAUCUUACAAGAGUCUAGCAAGCUGAGUGUAGUGGUGCACACUUGUAAUCCCAGCAGCUCAGGAGGCUGAGGCAGGAGGACCGCAAGUUUGAAGCCAGCCGCAGCAAUUUAGUGAGGCCCUAAGUAACUUAGUGGGACCUUCUCCUAAAACAAAAAAUAAAAAGUUCUGGGGAUGUAGCUCAGUGAUAAAGUGUCUCUGGGUUCAACAUCCUCCCCACAAGGAGUCAAGCAAAUAGCCCCUUGUUUUUGUUAGACACUUAACAUUGUUGCCUUGGGCAUCCAAGAGCUUUGAAAAUUUUAUUAUUUGAGCCAGAAGUGGUUGAUUAAUAUUCUAAAUGUUAUGCUAUAAACUUGUUCUACAAAUACAUAAUGACAAAAUAUAAAUUUAAAAUCGAAUAGCAGGUCCAGAGAAAUAAAAUCAGAAUGAAUGCAGAGUGGGGAGGCGUGAAGCAGAAAGGGUUGACACAGUUAAAAUAACUCUACAGUAAAUUUGCCUCAGAGCUUUCUGAUAGUCAAAGCAAAGAAGGAAACAUGGUCAUUUACAGAGGUGUUAUUAUCCAGUAGGGGAGAAUGACCCUUUCCUCAGGAAAUAAACUCUUCUGCUCAUGUCUCAUGGAGGUCUGCAGCAAGUGAACUAAUGAUUUCCAUAAAGUUAUCCAUUUCAGGAUGGAUCCAUGAAGUGCAUGCAACCUUGGGUAGGUUUUGAAACCUCUCAGACAGCAGUUCUGUCUACCUCACCUCCACCCUAGCGCUGGACAUUGAACCCAGAAUUCCUUUAUGACUGGGCUAGAUUCCCAGCACUUUCUGUUUUAUCUUGAGACAGGGUCUGGCUAAGUUGCUGAGGCUGGUUUUUAAUUUGUAAUCCUCCUGCUUCAGCCUCCCAAGUAGCUGGGAUCACAAGUAUGUUCCAGUAUACUCAGCUGGGACAGAAGUUCUAUAUUCAUUUUGGGGGACUCAUCACCCAUGCCUGAGUGGAGCUGAGAUUGAUUCAUUUUAAUGAGUAUAUCUAAAGAUAUCAUGUAUGAAACCAAUCUGUGCUGGGUGCUCUUGGAAUAUAAGAUUAAAGAGACAGAGAGAGAAAGACAGAAUGUGGGGAGAGGGUAGGGGAGGGAGGGAGAUACACACACAUGUACACACACACACACACACACAGGCAGUAUGGAAUUUUUUGUCCCUGGUUUCAUAGCCCGGUAAAGGGGACACAUAAGAUACCCAAAUAGUUCUUAUACAAAAUAGCUUGUUGUCGUAGUCAGUUUGGGUGGCUUAAAUGAUAGAGUUAUUUCUCACAGUUCUGGGGGCUGGGAAAUCCGAGGUCAAGGUGAAUACAGUUGAGGUCCUGGUGAGGGCCUUCUUCCUGAUGCGCAGAAGGCCACCUUCUCCUGUGACCUCACAUUGGAGAGAGCAGAGAGAAAGGAAGCUCUCACAUCCCUUCUGACUAGGGCACGAAUCCCAUCCAUAGCCCAAAGGCCCACCUCCUACGGUGUCACCUACUCACCUACGGGUUAGGAUUUCAACAUAUGAAUUUGGGGAGAACACACACAUUCAGUCCCUAAUGGUUGUGUUUAGUGUCACUGUGACUGUAUUUGCUGAACAAGGGACUGCUGGCCAUCCUUUCUUAUUUCUAUGUUAGAGGCUGAGUCCAUACAUUUCUGAAAUACUCAGACAUGGCCGUAGCUACAGAUGCCAGGAUUCUCUUGGACUGAUUGUUGAGGUCUGUGCCAUUCCCUACCCCAACUUCUCCAGCCUCUCCUCUCUCAAGCCAGGCACCAUGCCCCACAAGUAGGCCUGGGUACCUGCCCACCCUGGGGCCUGGGCCUGGCUUCUCCAUCAAACCACUUGGAUUGAGGCAAAGGAGUUGUGCCUGUCCAAGGGAAGUUAUAGGUUUUGUUAGAAUAAAGGUCUCUGCAAGUUGAGUGUCUAGGUCAAAGAUAUAGCAUGUGAUUUGCACGCAUGAGGCCCUGAGUUUAUCCAUUGCACCAAGAGAGAAAGAGAGAGGAAGGAAGGAAGGAAGGAAGGAAGAAGGAAGGAAGGAAGGAAGGAAGGAAGGAAGGAAGAAAGGAAGGAAGGAAAUAAGGCUGGCUUACAGGCUUCUGGGAAGCUCAGAAUGCAAAAAUCUGCCUGACUUUUCCCUUCUUCAAAGGUGACCUCUCUUUGUUCGUCUGGGUAAUUGAUUUUCUUCUGAGAUCCAUGUGACCCAAUUCAUUAACUCUUUCCAGUUGAAUUCCAGGGGCACACACUGAACUUUCACCCUUCAUUUAUCUCAUUAUUGGGAGAGAAACGGUUAACUGCAAUGAAAUCAUCAUUCUGCUUCCUCUUCUGACUAAAGCAGCUUAAUUUUAAAAUGUUCCCUGUCACCUGGCUGCUGUUACCAGGGAGCUCGGUGGAAACCCUCCAGCACUUGUGUAAUUCCUUAAAUUCUGUACUCCCAUUAUCCACCAAAGCCUGCUUGGUCACUUGACCCCAGGAGAGCAAGACUGAAAAAAAACAUAGCCACUAAGAGACUCACUGGGAAAAAUGAUUCAGCUCUCCACAUGAAUUAUGGCAUAAGACCAAGGAAUACUCCCACGUCUCCUGGGAAUGGGGGAGCUCCCUGUGGAUGUGUGGUGUAGCCAAGGGGACUUGGGGGGCUGCACUUUUGAUGUGUAUUCUUUUCUUCUCGCAAUCUGGAUUGAAUGAUCACUCUUUUUCUGUUUCAUCCUGUGAUUGUAGGAGGUCAGGUAACUAGAGGAGCUCCUCAGGGUAGAGAUGCCUCUCUGUUCAGAACAUGUGGCAUAGUCCCAAAUGUUUGUCCUGGUCAGGAAGAUGUCUGAACAGUAGCACUGGAAAUGGAGGGAAAGGAUACCCAGAUAUCUCUAUCAUCCCGUAAAGUCAAUUUUCUACACUGCAUAUGUAGUAUGUUACCAUCGCAAAGCAUUCUUGAGACAUGCUAACUACUGAUCAUGUCUUCCGUAUCUACACAGAACAGACAUACCUGCUUAAUUUUGUGGUAGGCUAGAAAUCGUCUUUCCCUCAUCUCCAAAACCCUUUUGAAAGUUGUCCCCUCGGUUGUCCCCUUACACCCUGAAACUCAACAUGUCUAAAAGGCCCCAGAAUCACCUUUGCUGUCUCCAUUCCUUUUUCUCUAAUCUGUUUGUGUAUCAACCCAUCUUCCCCUCAAUAAAUAUUUUGUUGCAAUAGGAUCAUGUGACAUACUUGGUGUAUGAUGGGGAGGAACAGCAGACACGUCCCUGUCUCAGGGAGGUUCCCAUCUGAUAAAGGAGAUAAGCGCUGCUCAAUUCCGAGGAAGCGUAGCCAGGAAGUGCUGCAGGAUAAGCCAGCCCAGAGGAUCCUUCAUGCACAACUGCUUUCCAGCCUGUUCACUCUUCCCCUUCAUCAUAGCCACAAGCUUUGGCCAGGCCUU